AUUGAACGCUGGCGGCAGGCCUAACACAUGCAAGUCGAGCGAGAGGCGGACGGGUGAGUAAUGUAUGGGGACUGCCCGAUAGAGGGGGAUAACUACUGGAAACGGUGGCUAAUACCUCAUACGAUCGGAUAACCCAUAUGGGAUUAGCUAGUCGGUGGGGUAAAGGGGCACCUAGGCGACUAUCUCUAGCUGGUCUGAGAGGAUGAUCAGCCACACUGGUACUGAGACACGGCCCAGACUCCUACGGAUGCAGCAGUGGUGAAUAUUGCACAAUGGGCGCAAGCCUGAUGCAGCCAUGCCCCGUGUAUGAAGAAGGCCUUAGGUUUGUAAAGUACUUUCAGCGGUGAGGCGUUACCCGCAGAAGAAGCACCGGCUAACUCCGUGCCAGCAGCCGCGGGAAUAC
rnacentral:rRNA from 1 species